rnacentral:rRNA from 1 species
GCUCUUAUGAAGUUAGCGGCGGACGGGUGAGUAACACGUGGGUAACCUGCCCAUAAGACUGGGAUAACUCCGGGAAACCGGGGCUAAUACCGGAUAACAUUUUGAACCGCAUGGUUCGAAAUUGAAAGGCGGCUUCGGCUGUCACUUAUGGAUGGACCCGCGUCGCAUUAGCUAGUUGGUGAGGUAACGGCUCACCAAGGCAACGAUGCGUAGCCGACCUGAGAGGGUGAUCGGCCACACUGGGACUGAGACACGGCCCAGACUCCUACGGGAGGCAGCAGUAGGGAAUCUUCCGCAAUGGACGAAAGUCUGACGGAGCAACGCCGCGUGAGUGAUGAAGGCUUUCGGGUCGUAAAACUCUGUUGUUAGGGAAGAACAAGUGCUAGUUGAAUAAGCUGGCACCUUGACGGUACCUAACCAGAAAGCCACGGCUAACUACGUGCCAGCAGCCGCGGUAAUACGUAGGUGGCAAGCGUUAUCCGGAAUUAUUGGGCGUAAAGCGCGCGCAGGUGGUUUCUUAAGUCUGAUGUGAAAGCCCACGGCUCAACCGUGGAGGGUCAUUGGAAACUGGGAGACUUGAGUGCAGAAGAGGAAAGUGGAAUUCCAUGUGUAGCGGUGAAAUGCGUAGAGAUAUGGAGGAACACCAGUGGCGAAGGCGACUUUCUGGUCUGUAACUGACACUGAGGCGCGAAAGCGUGGGGAGCACACAGGAUUAGAUACCCUGGUAGUCCACGCCGUAAACGAUGAGUGCUAAGUGUUAGAGGGUUUCCGCCCUUUAGUGCUGAAGUUAACGCAUUAAGCACUCCGCCUGGGGAGUACGGCCGCAAGGCUGAAACUCAAAGGAAUUGACGGGCGCCCGCACAA